UACGGAGGGGGGCUAGCGUUGUUCGGAAUUACUGGGCGUAAAGCGCACGUAGGCGGCUUUGUAAGUUAGAGGUGAAAGCCCGGGGCUCAACUCCGGAAUUGCCUUUAAGACUGCAUCGCUAGAAUUGUGGAGAGGUAAGUGGAAUUCCGAGUGUAGAGGUGAAAUUCGUAGAUAUUCGGAAGAACACCAGUGGCGAAGGCGACUUACUGGACACAUAUUGACGCUGAGGUGCGAAAAGCGUGGGGGAGCAAACAGGGAUUAGA
rnacentral:rRNA from 1 species